UCCAUCGUGGCGCAGUGGUAGUGCCACCCUGAAGUACAGGAGUGUCUGUUGACGCAGCCUUGUUGAGCUCGGGUGAGUUGCGUGGUGCGGGCUUGCCUGUCUGGAAACCCGAGUUCAACUCUCGGCGAUGGAG